GGCGUCAUAGCUCAGUUGGGAGAGCAGCAGACUGAAGUUCCAAAUUCACUUCGCAUAGAUUAAUCUGAAGGUCCCGUGUUCAAGCCACGGUGAUGCCA